UGUCCCGCAUGGUCCCACAGAUGCUUUGCCCCCAAGUAAACACAUAGAGACUUGUAUUAAGUCCUCAUUUACAUUUCAUUAGGAGGUGUUGGACUGCCUGUUAAAGGACAGCUCUGUUCUUUCCCUGGAUCCUGAGUUUGGGGCAGAACUCAGUGACCCCCCCUCAAUGCACCUGCCUCUGUUCUCCAUAAACCUGACUGCCAGAACCGUAUGUCUAAGAUUCUGCCUGUCUCCCCUAUGGGUCUGAAAAAAGAGAUCCAGGACCCCGAGAGGUCAGGUGACUACUCCAGGGCCACUCAGUUAGGACAUGGCAGAAGGCCUAUAUUACCUUGCCUUCAAAGCAUCUGAGCUUCCGUCAUCUCCAAGCUGAUGACUACCCAACCUGGAGAAGGAGAUGCAGGGCGCUUUCGAGUUACUCUACUGUGUGUUGACCACGUUGCUGCUUCAGGAACGGCCCGGAGAAAAGGAAAACACCAGCCAGGAAGAACAUUAAUGGGAUUCCCCUGGAAAACGACACCAUCAAGAGUUUAGAAAAAUAUUUCCAGGGAAAUGAGGGACCCACUAUUUAAAAGACAGAAACCAGUGACCUGACACCUCUGUGCUUUAAAAAGAGACGUAAAAAAAUGGCGUCACUUACACUUUCUAACGGGAAGGAAUUUGGGAAGAGCAGAUUAUUAUUAAUUAUUUUAAUAGCUUCUUAAUUAGCCCUUCAAACAAGUUUUUUAAA